AGGCUUGGACUAUGAGUGAAGCAGCCAUGGGAACUGAAUGUCCAGUUAGUGACAUGGAUAGGACAAAAGAGUCACAUAUGUAACCUGUUAAAGCCAAAGAAAAGGAAUGGUGCCUCUGGACCACUGCAAUCCUUGAAUAGUUUUAAAUCGCUACACUGCAAAGAAGAAAUGUUAAAGCCAGAACAUUGCUAUAUCUGGCUGAUCCCUGGAUUUAUUUAGUUUCAGUAACUGAAUGCUCCCCUGGAAUUGUGGAAUAUUGGGAGAAAGAAGGAAGUGAUACCUCUUACACCUGAGUCCUGCUCUCUUUGGCCAUGCUCCAGUUUCUCAUCAGCAGAAACUCAAAGCCCCAGCACCAACGUGAUAGAUUAUCUGUUGAAAAAAUGUCAGAAAAUGGGAAAACUGAAGAGUUGAUGCCUCAGAUAUUAACAGAACAGAAGUGAAAUCUGAACAUUCUCUCACCUGAGCAUCAGUCUGCCUUGAUGUAGGAGAUGAACUGCAAUUUGGAUCCAAGAGCAGAAGAGUUUAUAUUAAUUAAGAACUAAGAAGCUUCUGCUGGCUUUAUUACUACCAAUUAAAAACUAAAUAUCCUUUUGAACAACAAUGAGAGUUCAUUAAUGGAAUAACAGUGUGGCCCAUGCGCCUGGAUAUUCUGAUACAGCUGAAAAAUGGAAGAAUAAGGGCUAAGAACAACUGAC